GGAGAAACUUGAAAGUAAAAGCUACAAAUAUGACUAUUGAGUCUUUAGGCGUCCCCUUCGUUGUCCUCCUGCGGAACUGGCUCGGGAACAAGGUCUUCCUGAUCUGAAAUGAUUAAAUAAGGAAUGAGCUACACUACCCCAGUAAAGACAUCACGAUAUCUCACCGUCACGGAGGUAAAGGUGGGUAGAAAACACAAAAAGACCAAUGGAGCAUAAUUUACAACAAAACCUUUUAUCAAUAAUAAAACCUUUACCAUUCACUUACCUCGGUGAAAUUCAUAAGUCAAUAUACGAAAACAAUAACAUCAUCAUCAUCAUGAAAUCAUAUAUAAACUGUAUAACGUAAUACUUAUCAAGCCUUUCGAAAUUCAAUCGUUACACAAUAUAUUUUCCUCAUUUACCAGCCCACUAGUAUCCAUGGGGAUCCACAGGGGUCCCGCUACCCGUUAACCCUUAACACUUGAAAUUGUAUUCCAGGGCCGUCCCCAUACCCCGUCUGGUAUGGGCGCCAAAACUAUAAACCUCAUUACCCCGUCCGGUAUGAGGGUGAAACGGGCCGUCCCCAUACCCCGUCCGGUAUGGGCGCCAAAACACAUAAGAUCUCCAUACCCCGUCCGGUAUGGG
rnacentral:lncRNA from 1 species